GUGUUGUAUGAAAAGGAAGAAGUUUAGCACUUCCUUUGACAAGGAUGGAAGAUGCCCUUGGGCAUGACAACAGACAUAUGAGAAAGGCAUUGCCACCUAUUUUGUGGCAUUUAACCAUAAGUUUUC
ensembl:snRNA